rnacentral:tRNA from 3 species
GGGCCGUUAGCUCAGUGGUAGAGCAGCUGACUCUUAAUCAGCGGGUCCGGGGUUCGAACCCCCGACGGCCCUCCA